AUGCCGUGGUGUGGGCAUGCUGCGAUGUAUUCCUGGAGAUGUUCCUAGGCUUCCGGUAUGGUUUCAUCCUGGGUUGUUGAAAACUAGAAAUCCUAUUCGGAAGGGCAU